GCAAUGAUGAUGGUUUUGGUUUUGAUAAACAAUGAAAAUACAUCACCAAUUCCUCUAAGAAGUUCUGAGCUC
rnacentral:snoRNA from 1 species